rnacentral:rRNA from 1 species
AACGAACGCUGGCGGCAGGCCUAACACAUGCAAGUCGAACGCCGUAGCAAUACGGAGUGGCAGACGGGUGAGUAACGCGUGGGAACCUACCUUACGGUCGGGAAUAGCUCAGGGAAACUUGGGGGUAAUACCGGAUACGCCCUUACGGGAAGAUUUAUCGCCGUUAGAUGGGCCCGCGUAGGAUUAGCUAGUUGGUGAGGUAAUGGCUCACCAAGGCGACGAUCCUUAGCUGGUCUGAGAGGAUGAUCAGCCACACUGGGACUGAGACACGGCCCAGACUCCUACGGGAGGCAGCAGUGGGGAAUAUUGGACAAUGGGCGCAAGCCUGAUCCAGCCAUGCCGCGUGAGUGACGAAGGCCUUAGGGUUGUAAAGCUCUUUUGGCGGGGAAGAUAAUGACGGUACCCGCAGAAUAAGCUCCGGCUAACUUCGUGCCAGCAGCCGCGGUAAU